GACGAACGCUGGCGGCGUGCCUAAUACAUGCAAGUAGAACGCUGAAGAGAGGAGCUUGCUCUUCUUGGAUGAGUUGCGAACGGGUGAGUAACGCGUAGGUAACCUGCCUUGUAGCGGGGGAUAACUAUUGGAAACGAUAGCUAAUACCGCAUAACAAUGGAUGACCCAUGUCAUUUAUUUGAAAGGGGCAAAUGCUCCACUACAAGAUGGACCUGCGUUGUAUUAGCUAGUAGGUGAGGUAACGGCUCACCUAGGCGACGAUACAUAGCCGACCUGAGAGGGUGAUCGGCCACACUGGGACUGAGACACGGCCCAGACUCCUACGGGAGGCAGCAGUAGGGAAUCUUCGGCAAUGGGGGCAACCCUGACCGAGCAACGCCGCGUGAGUGAAGAAGGUUGUCGGAUCGGAAAGCUCUGUUGUAAGUCAAGAACGAGUGUGAGAGUGGAAAGUUCACACUGUGACGGUAGCUUACCAGAAAGGGACGGCUAACUACGUG
rnacentral:rRNA from 1 species